rnacentral:rRNA from 1 species
GAAAGCUUGCUUUCUUUGCCGGCGACCGGCGCACGGGUGAGUAACACGUAUCCAACCUGCCCUUUACUCGGGGAUAGCCUUUCGAAAGAAAGAUUAAUACCCGAUAGCAUAAUGAUUCCGCAUGGUUUCAUUAUUAAAGGAUUCCGGUAAAGGAUGGGGAUGCGUUCCAUUAGGUUGUUGGUGAGGUAACGGCUCACCAAGCCUUCGAUGGAUAGGGGUUCUGAGAGGAAGGUCCCCCACAUUGGAACUGAGACACGGUCCAAACUCCUACGGGAGGCAGCAGUGAGGAAUAUUGGUCAAUGGGCGCUAGCCUGAACCAGCCAAGUAGCGUGAAGGAUGAAGGCUCUAUGGGUCGUAAACUUCUUUUAUAUAAGAAUAAAGUGCAGUAUGUAUACUGUUUUGUAUGUAUUAUAUGAAUAAGGAUCGGCUAACUCCGUGCCAGCAGCCGCGGUAAUACGGAGGAUCCGAGCGUUAUCCGGAUUUAUUGGGUUUAAAGGGAGCGUAGGUGGACUGGUAAGUCAGUUGUGAAAGUUUGCGGCUCAACCGUAAAAUUGCAGUUGAUACUGUCAGUCUUGAGUACAGUAGAGGUGGGCGGAAUUCGUGGUGUAGCGGUGAAAUGCUUAGAUAUCACGAAGAACUCCGAUUGCGAAGGCAGCUCAC